rnacentral:rRNA from 1 species
UGGGGAAUUUUGGACAAUGGGGGAAACCCUGAUCCAGCCAUCCCGCGUGUGCGAUGAAGGCCUUCGGGUUGUAAAGCACUUUUGGCAGGAAAGAAACGUCGCGGGUUAAUACCCCGCGAAACUGACGGUACCUGCAGAAUAAGCACCGGCUAACUACGUGCCAGCAGCCGCGGUAAUACGUAGGGUGCAAGCGUUAAUCGGAAUUACUGGGCGUAAAGCGUGCGCAGGCGGUUCGGAAAGAAAGAUGUGAAAUCCCAGAGCUUAACUUUGGAACUGCAUUUUUAACUACCGGGCUAGAGUGUGUCAGAGGGAGGUGGAAUUCCGCGUGUAGCAGUGAAAUGCGUAGAUAUGCGGAGGAACACCGAUGGCGAAGGCAGCCUCCUGGGAUAACACUGACGCUCAUGCACGAAAGCGUGGGGAGCAAACAGGAUUAGAUACCCUGGUAGUCCACGCCCUAAACGAUGUCAACUAGCUGUUGGGGGCCUUCGGGCCUUGGUAGCGCAGCUAACGCGUGAAGUUGACCGCCUGGGGAGUACGGUCGCAAGAUUAAAACUCAAAGGAAUUGACGGGGUCGAU